GAGAGGCCGAGGGCAGUAAGGACUGCUAAUCCAUACCCCCAUGGUUAA
rnacentral:tRNA from 1 species